UUAUGGGUGGCGAGUGGCGGACGGGUGAGGAAUACAUCAGAAUCUACUUUUUCGUGGGGGAUAACGUAAGGAAACUUACGCUAAUACCGCAUACGACCUACGGGUGAAAGCAGGGGAUCUUCGGACCUUGCGCGAUUGAAUGAGCCGAUGUCGGAUUAGCUAGUUGGCGGGGUAAAGGCCCACCAAGGCGACGAUCCGUAGCUGGGCUGAGAGGAUGAUCAGCCACACUGGAACUGAGACACGGUCCAGACUCCUACGGGGAGGCAGGCGGUGGNGGAAUAUUNGGACAAUUGGGCCGCAAGCCNUGAACCAGCCAUCCCGNNUGGGNGAAGAANGNCCNUCGGGUUCNNAANCCCUNUUGGUAGGCC
rnacentral:rRNA from 1 species